rnacentral:rRNA from 1 species
GCAGUCGAACGGUAGAGGGGGCAACCCCUCGAGAGUGGCGAACGGCUGAGUAAUAUAUCGGAACGUGCCCAGUCGUGGGGGAUAACGUAGCGAAAGUUACGCUAAUACCGCAUACGAUCUACGGAUGAAAGCGGGGGAUCGCAAGACCUCGCGCGAUUGGAGCGGCCGAUAUCAGAUUAGGUAGUUGGUGGGGUAAAGGCUCACCAAGCCAACGAUCUGUAGCUGGUCUGAGAGGACGACCAGCCACACUGGAACUGAGACACGGUCCAGACUCCUACGGGAGGCAGCAGUGGGGAAUUUUGGACAAUGGACGCAAGUCUGAUCCAGCCAUUCCGCGUGCAGGAUGAAGGCCCUCGGGUUGUAAACUGCUUUUGUACGGAACGAAAAGGUUUCCAUUAAUACUGGGAGCUCAUGACGGUACCGUAAGAAUAAGCACCGGCUAACUACGUGCCAGCAGCCGCGGUAAUACGUAGGGUGCAAGCGUUAAUCGGAAUUACUGGGCGUAAAGCGUGCGCAGGCGGUUAUGUAAGACAGAGGUGAAAUCCCCGGGCUCAACCUGGGAACUGCCUUUGUGACUGCAUAGCUAGAGUACGGUAGAGGGGGAUGGAAUUCCGCGUGUAGCAGUGAAAUGCGUAGAUAUGCGGAGGAACACCGAUGGCGAAGGCAAUCCCCUGGACCUGUACUGACGCUCAUGCA